UAUAGAUAUUACUGAGGUUGUAUGUAUAUAGAUACUACAGAAGUUGUAUGUAUAUAGAUAUUACUGAGGUUGUAUGUGUAUAGAUAUUACUGAAGUUGUAUGUAUAUAGAUAUUACUGAAGUUGUAUGUGUAUAGGUACUACUGAAGUUGUAUGUGUAUAGAUAUUACUGAAGUUGUAUGUGUAUAGGUACUACUGAAGUUGUAUGUGUAUAGAUAUUACUGAAGUUGUAUGUAUAUAGAUAUUACUGAGGUUGUAUGUAUAUAGGUUGUAUGUGUAUAGAUAUUACUGAAGUUGUAUGUGUAUAGGUACUACUGAAGUUGUAUGUGUAUAGAUAUUACUGAAGUUGUAUGUAUAUAGAUAUUACUGAGGUUGUAUGUAUAUAGAUAUUACUGAAGUUGUAUGUGUAUAGGUACUACUGAAGUUGUAUGUGUAUAGAUACUACUGAAGUUGUAUGUAUAUAGAUACUACUGAGGUUGUAUGUAUAUAGAUACUACUGAGGUUGUAUGUAUAUAGAUACUACUGAG
rnacentral:lncRNA from 1 species